UGAGGCGCGCCGAGUUUGAUCCUGGCUCAGAACGAACGCUGGCGGCGUGCUUAACACAUGCAAGUCGAACGCGAAAGAGUUCUUCGGAACUUGAGUAGAGUGGCGCACGGGUGAGUAACGCGUAAAUAAUCUACCCUGAUGUUCGGAAUAACCAGCCGAAAGGCUGACUAAUACCGGGUACAUGUUUUGCUGCGGGGCGAAACAGGAAAGGUGGGGCUCCUUCGGGACCUACCGCAUUGGGAUGAGUUUGCGUACCAUUAGCUAGUUGGUGGGGUAAAGGCCUACCAAGGCAACGAUGGUUAGCGGGUCUGAGAGGAUGAUCCGUCACACUGGCACUGGAACACGGGCCAGACUCCUACGGGAGGCAGCAGUGAGGAAUAUUGCGCAAUGGGGGAAACCCUGACGCAGCGACGCCGCGUGAGUGAGGAAGGCCUUCGGGUCGUAAAGCUCUGUCAGAUGGGAAGAAGUGUAACGUAACUAAUAUUUGCGUUAUUUGACGGUAC
rnacentral:rRNA from 1 species